rnacentral:rRNA from 1 species
AACGAACGCUGGCGGCAGGCCUAACACAUGCAAGUCGAGCGAGGACUUCGGUCCUAGCGGCGGACGGGUGAGUAACGCGUGGGAACGUGCCCCUUGGUACGGAAUAGCCCCGGGAAACUGGGAGUAAUACCGUAUGAGCUCUACGGAGGAAAGAUUUAUCGCCAAGGGAUCGGCCCGCGUUGGAUUAGGUAGUUGGUGGGGUAAUGGCCUACCAAGCCGACGAUCCAUAGCUGGUUGGAGAGGAUGAUCAGCCACACUGGGACUGAGACACGGCGCAGAGUCCUACGGGAGGCAGCAGUGGGGAAUCUUAGACAAUGGGGGCAGGCCUGAUCUAGCCAUGCAGCGUGAGCGAUGAAGGCCUUAGGGUUGUAAAGCUCUUUCAGCGAGGAAGAUAAUGACUGUACUCGCAGAAGAAGCCCCGGCUAACUCCGUGCCAGCCGCCGCCGUAACAC